CCUACGGGAGGCAGCAGUGGGGAAUUUUGGACAAUGGGCGAAAGCCUGAUCCAGCAAUGCCGCGUGAGUGAAGAAGGCCUUCGGGUUGUAAAGCUCUUUUGUCAGGGAAGAAACGGUGGGAGCUAAUAUCUCUUGCUAAUGACGGUACCUGAAGAAUAAGCACCGGCUAACUACGUGCCAGCAGCCGCGGUAAUACGUAGGGUGCAAGCGUUAAUCGGAAUUACUGGGCGUAAAGCGUGCGCAGGCGGUUUUGUAAGUCUGAUGUGAAAUCCCCGGGCUCAACCUGGGAAUUGCAUUGGAGACUGCAAGGCUAGAAUCUGGCAGAGGGGGGUAGAAUUCCACGUGUAGCAGUGAAAUGCGUAGAUAUGUGGAGGAACACCGAUGGCGAAGGCAGCCCCCUGGGUCAAGAUUGACGCUCAUGCACGAAAGCGUGGGGAGCAAACAGGAUUAGAUACCCUGGUAGUCCACGCCCUAAACGAUGUCUACUAGUUGUCGGGUCUUAAUUGACUUGGUAACGCAGCUAACGCGUGAAGUAGACCGCCUGGGGAGUACGGUCGCAAGAUUAAAACUCAAAAGGAAUUGACGG
rnacentral:rRNA from 1 species